ensembl:lncRNA
CUCAUCCCGCUUCCGGCCCCGCGCGGUGAACUCUGAAUUCCAGCACGUCUCCGCUCUGCUGUAGAGCCUUUCUAGGGCGGCAGGCAUUCGGCCAGAGCCCGUCUCUGUGGCUUUGUGCCCACAGGUUGGUUUCCAAGCUAAGGAAAUCUGAACUUAAUGGUGUGAAGCAAUGAUUUACUGAAACCUCCCCUUCAAGCCAAACUCAGCCAACAGAGAAAUAUGCGAAGAUGUGUGCAUGCCAGGAAAUGCCAGUUAAACAGCACCUUUGCCUGCAUAUCUCGUGGCUGGCUGCCUCUGUAUGCUGUGGUUCCUUUUUUUGACUUCUUUGACCCAAAGGCAUCUGGAAUCUCUUGAAAGCAUUAAUUACGCCUUCCGCUCUUUGCACGGAGGAGGACCCGUGUGGUCGUCACCAUGGCAGGACAUCUCAGCUCUCUGGGAAAGAGCACUGGACCAGAGCCAGGCGACGGGGUGCCAGCUUCAGCUCUUGCCUAUACAGCGGUUCUUGGGCAAAUGCCCUAACCAGAGUCUUGGUUUUCUUAUGUUACAAUUUGGAGAAACAAUAAUGAAAUUGUAGACCUUGUGAAGUACUUGCUGGUGUCAGAUAUUGAGGGCUACAUCUGCUUUAUCUCAGGAAGCCAGCAUGAUACCUCAGGGGGCAGGUACAAAAGGGGGUCCAUUUUGCAGAUGAGAAAACUAAGUCCUG